GCCCUACGGGAGGCAGCAGUGGGGAAUAUUGGACAAUGGGCGCAAGCCUGAUCCAGCAAUGCCGCGUGAGUGAUGAAGGCCUUAGGGUUGUAAAGCUCUUUCGCACGCGACGAUGAUGACGGUAGCGUGAGAAGAAGCCCCGGCUAACUUCGUGCCAGCAGCCGCGGUAAUACGAAGGGGGCUAGCGUUGUUCGGAAUUACUGGGCGUAAAGGGCGCGUAGGCGGCCUUGUCAGUCAGAAGUGAAAGCCCGGGGCUCAACCUGGGAACUGCUUUUGAUACUGCAAGGCUAGAGUUUCGGAGAGGAUGGUGGAAUUCCCAGUGUAGAGGUGAAAUUCGUAGAUAUUGGGAAGAACACCGGUGGCGAAGGCGGCCAUCUGGACGAACACUGACGCUGAGGCGCGAAAGCGUGGGGAGCAAACAGGAUUAGAUACCCGAGUAGUCAUU
rnacentral:rRNA from 1 species